rnacentral:rRNA from 1 species
UACAGAGGGUGCGAGCGUUGUCCGGAAUCACUGGGCGUAAAGGGCGUGUAGGCGGGAAGGAUAGUCAGAUGUGAAAUCCCUGGGCUCAACCCAGGAACUGCAUUUGAAACUCCCUUUCUUGAGUGUCGGAGAGGAAAGCGGAAUUCCUGGUGUAGAGGUGAAAUUCGUAGAUAUCAGGAGGAACACCGGUGGCGAAGGCGGCUUUCUGGACGACAACUGACGCUGAGACGCGAAAGCGUGGGGAGCAAACAGG